CCAAUAGCGUAUAUUAAAGUUGUUGUGGUUAAAAAGCUCGUAGUUGAACCUUGGGCCUGGCUGGCCGGUCCGCCUCACCGCGUGUACUGGUCCGGCCGGGCCUUUCCCUCUGUGGAACCUCAUGCCCUUCACUGGGUGUGACGGGGAAGCAGGACUUUUACUGUGAAAAAAUUAGAGUGCUCCAAGCAGGCCUAUGCUCGAAUACAUUAGCAUGGAAUAAUAAAAUAGGACGUGCGGUUCUAUUUUGUUGGUUUCUAGGACCGCCGUAAUGAUUAAUAGGGACAGUCGGGGGCAUCAGUAUUCAAUUGUCAGAGGUGAAAUUCUUGGAUUUAUUGAAGACUAACUACUGCGAAAGCAUUUGCCAAGGAUGUUUUCAUUAAUCAGGAACGAAAGUUAGGGGAUCGAAGACGAUCAGAUACCGUCGUAGUCUUAACCAUAAACUAUGCCGACUAGGGAUCGGACGAUGUUAUUUUUUGACUCGUUCGGCACCUUCCG
rnacentral:misc_RNA from 1 species